rnacentral:sRNA from 1 species
ACUGAAGAACGAUUUAUAUGUUUCCUUUACAUCUUGAGUUAGAAUCUUACUGUAAUUGAGAGAACAUAUUGGAAGAAUGUCUAUUAUUGUUGUAAUUUUCUCUGUUUUCAUCUGUCAUAUCUCAAGUACUGACGUUAUGCUUCAAUAUGAGGCGAGUGACGUCACUGGAGAUCAAAUGCCCGACCAGGUCAAUGUAACUUUUAGCACAGAAACCAAAUCUCUAACCAAACUUAAUCUCAGACGCUCGCGACAUUUCAACCUUGACAUUCCUCUGUAUACUCUGGCCACCGACCAGGAGGGAAUUUUCCAUAGACAUAAAGUGAAAACCAGGCCCA